rnacentral:rRNA from 1 species
CACUAUCGUUAACUGAAUACAUAGGUUAACGAGGCGAACCGGGGGAACUGAAACAUCUAAGUACCCCGAGGAAAAGAAAUCAACCGAGAUUCCCCCAGUAGCGGCGAGCGAACGGGGAGCAGCCCAGAGUCUGAAUCAGCUUGUGUGUUAGUGGAACGGUCUGGAAAGUCCGACGGUACAGGGUGAUAGUCCCGUACACCAAAAUGCACAGGCUGUGAACUCGAAGAGUAGGGCGGGACACGUGGUAUCCUGUCUGAAUAUGGGGGGACCAUCCUCCAAGGCUAAAUACUCCUGACUGACCGAUAGUGAACCAGUACCGUGAGGGAAAGGCGAAAAGAACCCCGGCGAGGGGAGUGAAAAAGAACCUGAAACCGUGUACGUACAAGCAGUGGGAGCACCUUCGGGUGUGACUGCGUACCUUUUGUAUAAUGGGUCAGCGACUUAUAUUCUGUAGCAAGGUUAACCGUAUAGGGGAGCCGCAGGGAAACCGAGUCUUAACUGGGCGUUAAGUUGCAGGGUAUAGACCCGAAACCCGGUGAUCUAGCCAUGGGCAGGUUGAAGGUUGGGUAACACUAACUGGAGGACCGAACCGACUAAUGUUGAAAAAUUAGCGGAUGACUUGUGGCUGGGGGUGAAAGGCCAAUCAAACCGGGAGAUAGCUGGUUCUCCCCGAAAGCUAUUUAGGUAGCGCCUCGUGAACUCAUCUUCGGGGGUAGAGCACUGUUUCGGCUAGGGGGUCAUCCCGACUUACCAACCCGAUGCAAACUACGAAUACCGAAGAAUGUUAUCACGGGAGACACACGGCGGGUGCUAACGUCCGUCGUGAAGAGGGAAACAACCCAGACCGCCAGCUAAGGUCCCAAAGUCAUGGUUAAGUGGGAAACGAUGUGGGAAGGCACAGACAGCCAGGAUGUUGGCUUAGAAGCAGCCAUCAUUUAAAGAAAGCGUAAUAGCUCACUGGUCGAGUCGGCCUGCGCGGAAGAUGUAACGGGGCUAAACCAUGCACCGAAGCUGCGGCAGCGACACUAUGUGUUGUUGGGUAGGGGAGCGUUCUGUAAGCCUGCGAAGGUGUGCUGUGAGGCAUGCUGGAGGUAUCAGAAGUGCGAAUGCUGACAUAAGUAACGAUAAAGCGGGUGAAAAGCCCGCUCGCCGGAAGACCAAGGGUUCCUGUCCAACGUUAAUCGGGGCAGGGUGAGUCGACCCCUAAGGCGAGGCCGAAAGGCGUAGUCGAUGGGAAACAGGUUAAUAUUCCUGUACUUGGUGUUACUGCGAAGGGGGGACGGAGAAGGCUAUGUUAGCCGGGCGACGGUUGUCCCGGUUUAAGCAUGUAGGCUG